rnacentral:rRNA from 1 species
UCGGACUCGGUAUGCGAGUUGGGUGUCAAACCCAAGGCGUAAUGACCGUGAACGUUGCGUUCGAGCUUCGCGAUCAUCUGUGCGAUACUGAUCUUCCGGAUGGAUCUAAGUAUCGCAUAUUGGGUCCGG